UAAGACGAACCGUGCAAACGUUGUUCGGAAUCACUGGGCUUAAAGGGCGCGUAGGCGGGUCAGCAAGUCCGGGGUGAAAUCUUUCGGCUCAACCGGAAAAGUGCCUUGGAUACUGCUGGUCUCGAGGGAGGUAGGGGUCUGUGGAACUUCCGGUGGAGCGGUGAAAUGCGUUGAUAUCGGAAGGAACGCCGGUGGCGAAAGCGACGGACUGGACCUCUUCUGACGCUGAGGCGCGAAAGCUAGGGGAGCAAACGGGAUUAGAUACCCCGGUAGUCCUAGCCCUAAACGAUGGGUACUAGAUAGUGGACUUUCAUGGGUUCACUGUCGAAGCAAAAGUGAUAAGUACCCCGCCUGGGGAGUAUGGUCGCAAGGCUG
rnacentral:rRNA from 1 species